GGAAAUAAAAUAUGUUACCGUUGCGUUGGGCACGUAAACCGUCCUCAGAAACCUACAAAUAUCACGACCACCACAUCAAUCUGCACUCCCUUCGUUCUUCUCCAACAACAUGAAACGUCUCUUCAACCCACUUGCUUUAAUGGAGGAAAAUACACACAUUUUUACUGAAGUUCAGUUCAUGUCAACAGAUGCUUGGUGGUAAUAUGCAGUCUAUCUGCUACAAAAAGAAUAUAGAAGAUUAUGGUCUAUUGUAUUAUCUCCACUUAGAUCAGACACAGGUUGUGAAGUCAACAUUCAAGUAUUUGUCUACCUUAUAUUCUUCUUGAGGCUUGAGAUCAAAUAUAAGGCAUUUGAUGUGGUGGUUUAUAUAUUUUCAGACAUCAAUUUUUUCUUCGUUUUACAAAAUCAAUAAAUUAAUAAUUUCACCUAACCUUUAUCUUUUUUGUUAGAUCUUGACCACUUAUCCUGCUCAUCUUGUGGUUGGAAUGUAUGCCUUUUUAUUUUAAUAGUUUUUAGUUUCUUCUUACAAAAAUAAAAAGUAACUUAUCAACUGUUUUUAAUUGCACAACAGUCCUCUUUUUGAUCAUGAUGCGAUUGUUAUUUCUUACUUGGGAUUAUUCAAGAUGUGUCUAUAUAUUGACUAACUAUCAUUGUGCAUAGAACAUGUUCACUAUGAGAUCCGAUUUUUUUAAACGGCUUAUCUAUUUUAUAGUUUUUACCCUUUUUUUCUUCGUAAAAUUGAUCUUCUUUAAUUGGAUUAACUUAUCCCCUUUUAUACAUUUUGUACUGAUUAUGCUCAUAUUUUGAUGCUAUCAAUUGCUAAUGUUGAUUUUGGCCCUAGUGAUGAUGGACUUAUUAAAAAGGUGAAAAUAAACCGAGGUUGUCAUCUCAUCUUUUUGUGAAUAAUCGGAUUAUAAUUAGUUGUUUAAUCAUAAAUUAUAAUUAAUCUAAAUCUAAUACUUCAUUUUGUUAGGGAAAUGGCGGAGUCAUAGAUGCAUGUAAAAGUAAGUUGCUUCUUAAGUAAGGUUGUUGAAGCAAAAACAGAUGCUUGGUGUUAAUCUGCAGUUUAUCUGGGCCAUACAACUCUUUAAUGUUGAUUUUGGCUCUAGUGAAUAGUGAUGGACUUCAGAAGGUCAAAAUAACCAAGGGGAAAUGGAGUGAGCUCCAAAAUACAGAUUGAAAGGAGUCAUCUCUGCAUGUAAAAGUUGCUUCUUAAGGUACAAAAAGAAAAUAGAUUAUGGUCUAUUGUAUUAUCUCCACUUAGAUCAGACACAGGUUUAUGUGGGGCUCACGAGGUUUGAAAAGUCAACAUUCAAGUACUUGUCUACCCUCCAUUGUUCUUGACACUUCAGAUCAAAUUAAGUCAUUUGAUGUGGAAAUAAAUUCGAAUGCUCGCUUAAAACCGGGGACUAUGUGGUAAUUUCUAUAAUUUUUAGACAUCAUCUGUUUCCUCCUUAUACAAAAUCAAUAAAUUAAUAAUUUCACCUUUUACUUUUUUGUUAGAUCUUGAACAGUUUUUGUGUUGGACAUCACUUGCACCAAAAUGUGGCUGUAUGCCUUUUUAUUUCAAUAGUUUUUAGUUUCUUUUUACAAAAAAAAAAAAAAAACAAAAGUAACUUAUCAACUGUUUUUAAUUGCACAACAGUCCUCUUUCUCAAAGCACUUAAGGCUUCAAUGGAGCAUCAUCUAUGAUCUUUGUAAAGAUGAAUUUUAAAAAGCAAUGAGGUAGUUAGAGGUCCUUAAUUAUUAAUUAAUUUUAACUUGCAAAUAUCUAUGUAGUGUGUAAGUUCUGAGUUUCUAUUGUUUGUACAAUAAUGUAGGAGUUGAUGUGAGUAUGAAAAAUUCUUGAAAUUCUUUUUAGGUUGUUGUAUAUUAUCUGUAGGCUCCUCGAUAUGAUGGUGUUUUAGUAAAGGUUAGGUAUCAAUAGUCAGGUAGUGUGUGUUUGGUUUGAGGGAAUGUAAUGGUUAGUUCCAUUGGAAGGAAAGAAGCUGUUUGUUUUGCCUGAUGGAAUGGAAUGGAACCCUCUUGAGGGGAAUGUGAUUCCUUUUCCUUCCCCUUUGUUAGCAGUCUUAUUUUCUUCAUUUCAUGUAUCAUGUGAAUAAAUAUUAUGUUGUGUGUUUUCUUUUUGAUCAUGAUGCAAUGGUUAUUUCCUAGAUGGAAUGAUUCAAGAUGUGUUUGUAUAUUGAGUAUCAUUUAUCGGUCUCUUUGUGAUAUUCCCCUUUAACCCUUAAACAUGUCCAUUAUGGGAUCAGAUUAUUUUUUAAAUUGGCUUAUCUAUCCCAUGGUCACAUAUUUUCAUUUUUUAAAAUGUGUUGGAUUUAUUCACUAACAAGUGUCUUUCUCUCUCUCUCUCUCUCUCUCUCUCUCUCUCUCUCGAUCGAGAUGCAUGUGGUAUGUUUCUUUAGUUAAUGACUUUUUCCAUUAGUAACCUUUUCAUUAAUAACAUCUAAUUUUUAUCUAUACAGUUGCUAUAGUGGAGGAAAUACAUAUAUGCAUACUAAAAUUCAGUUCUUGUCAACCGAUGCAUGCUGGUAAAUUGCAGUUUCUCUGGUUUCUCCAUUCUUAUUUACCCCCUUUAUUCAUAUUCAUGUGCAUCCUUUCUAUUUUAUAACUUUUACCCUUUUUUUCCGCAAAAUUAAUCUUCUUUAAAUGGCUUGUCUAUCCCAUAUUAAUAUAUUUUCAUUUGUUUAAUAACUUUUUGGAUUUGUUCAUUAGGAAGCUAGCCCAAGAAAUGUCUCUUUAACCAUAUCUGUGUUUUUCAUAUUUUGUUUUAUCAUCUAUCGAUUAUCUUGUUCUCAAUUCUUAUUUGAUUGAAUUUUUCAAAGGGUUUUGAUUUUUGAAUGCCAGAGGUUCCUUAUAUAAUUAUUUCCUACUUGAAAAUUAGGGUCUUCGAGUUUCUUGUUUUUCAUCAUAUUCUUCAUAGUCGAUUUAUUUGUAAUUGUUUUUUAUAUUCGAUUCAUCAUGCUCUUUAUUGAGGUAUCUUACUUUCUAUAAUGGCCUUUAUGUGAUGGUUUAAGUUACGUUUUUUCAAUCUUCUCUUCCUUUUGAUGCCUUGGUUAUUUCAUGUCUUUUGUGAAGAAAUGUGUUCUGUUCUCUGUUUUCAUUUUGAUCGUGAUGCGGUGGUUAUUUCUUAGUUGGCAUGAUUCAUGAUGUGUAUAACAUAACAUAGGCCUCUUUGUGAUGUUUAUUUUAACCAUUAAACAUGUCCAUCAUGGGAUCAGAUUAUCUUUUUCACAUGGAUCAAAUCCCAAUUCUAUAACAUGAUUCUUUUUGCUGUACACAUGAGCAUCUCCAGUGCAUACAAGUUUAUAAGAGUUGUAAAGAUUUCCAUGUCAUCAUUCCACUCUUAUACAACUUCAUCUUUCAAUUCUCCAAUGCAUACAACCUUACAAAAAAAACUUACAACUCCACCUCAUCACCUUCCAAUGCAUAUAACUCUCAUACCACUCCCCCCUUAACCUCAUAUUCUGAUGGUAUUGCUGUACUAAAGAUUGGUAGUGACACUGAAUUAGGCAAAAAGGAAGAUUUUAAAUGCCAAAAAGGUGAAUAUGGUGAAAAAUGGAACCAUUGACCCUUUGAAAGUCAUAAGAACAGCCUUGGUUGAUGCAACAAGCAUGUAGAUUGUAGUUUGAUAUUGAAAGAAACUAUGGAAGGCUUGCUUUUGUUGGAGAUGCUGUGAGUAGUUCCUGAUGAAAUUGUUUGGUUAUAUAUAGUCAACAACAGUUGGAUCUUUAAGGUGGAAAAAAGUAUGAAACAUAUUUGUUUUGAGUGUGACUUCAACUUAUGCUACUAUGUAAAAAAGGUGUUUAUUGAGACACAAGAUGUGGUUCAAACUCAAACUACUUGCUAGGGCCAUACAACUCUUUAAUGUUGAUUUGAUGGACUUAAGAAGGUGAUGUAAUCAUCUCCUCUUUUUGUUAAUACUCAGAUUAUCGUUAGUUGUUUAAGCAUAAAAAAUACAAUUCAUCUAAUACUUCAUUUUGUUAGAUGAAUAGUAAGUUGAAUCAGUGUAUGCUGUAUUCAUUUAGAUGGUUGAAAAUGCAUGUCUUAAGGUAAUGAAACCACUGAUUUCAUCAUGCCUUUAGAGUUCAAAACCGGAAAAGCAGCCAAUGGAUAUGUAUUUAAUUUUGACAUUUUCCACCAACCUUUUCUUUAUUAACAACUGUGGACUCUUCUCAUGUCUGAAAGGUGUUCUAUAUUCUAACAAAAUUAACAACUGUGGACUCUUUGAACCUCUUAUAUGUUUUUCUUUGUUUUCAUCCUUUUAGGUACAAAAAGAAUAUAGAUUAUGGUCUAUUAUAUUAUCUCCACACAUAUCAGACACAGGUCCCUACCUAUAUAUGACUCCUAAUGUUGAUUUUGGCUCUAGUGGACUUAAGAAGGGAAAAUGGCAUGGUCUCCAAAAUUCAGGUUGAAAGGAGUCAUAUAUAGAUGUAUCUCUGCAUGUAAAAGUUGCUUCUUAAGGUAGUGAAACCUGCAGUGAUUUCAUCAUGCCUCUAUAUAGUUUUGUUUCAAAACCUGAAAAGCAACCAAUGGGCAGGUUCUGAAGAAAGAUAUAAAAGUCAGCAUUCAAGAAAUGACUUGGAAUGCUGGCUUAAAACCGAGGAGGACUGUGUGAUGUUGAACACUGAUCCUGUUUGUCUUGUGGUUGGACAUCCUUGCACCAAUAUGUCACUGUAUAUCAAUUUUCUUUCAAUAGUUGUUAUAUUGGAGAAAAAUACACAUAUGUUUACUGAAAUUCACUUCUUGUCAACAGAUGCUUGGUGGUAAUAUGAAGUUUAUGUGGGCAAUACAACUCUUUAAUGUUGAUUUUGGCUCUAGUGAAUAGUGAUGAACUUCAGAAGGUGAAUAUUACCGAUGGGAAGUGGAGUGAGCUCCAAAAUACAGAUUGAAAGGAGUCAUAGAUGCAUGUAAAAGUUGCUUCUUAAGGUACAAAAAGAAUAUAGAUUAUGGUCCUAUUAUAUUAUCUCCACCCAGAUCAUACACAAGUAAAACAUCAUAAAAAAUGUUUCGUAUAUAUUUUUUUGUGAAUACUCACAAAGAAUGAGACUAAAUGACCAUUUUACCCUACAUUUCUAAAAGAAAAUCACAAUAUUCAUUAAUUUCAACAAUAUUUAUCAAUUUGAACGUGAGAGGAGUUGGGAGGAAAAAUAAGUACAAAUAGGUAGUUUUUUUUUGGCUUAACCCAUUUAGUCAUCCUGUCCAAUAUAAGUAAAAAAGAAAGAACAACUACAAUCUAUAGCUUUCCAGAUUAAGUGCUUAACUUGUUAACCUCUGUAUGUAAAAGAGAAACAGCCCUUAACUUUGUAUUUAUCUUUUACCUUUUUGAAUAUGUUUUUCUUUUUCUAUAUAUUUGUUAUCACAAAGUUUGAAAAGUCAACAUUCAAGUAGUUGUCUACCCUCCAUUGUUCUUGACACUUGAGAUCAAAUUAAGGCAUUUGAUUUGGAAUGGAUAUAUGAAAUCCUUCAUCCUCAGGAAAUAACUUCGAAUGCUCUCUUAAAAAUGUGGUAAUUUCUAUAGUUUUUAGACAUCAAUUGUUUCUUCCUUAUACAAAAUCAAUAAAUUAAUAAUUUCACCUUUUACUUUUGUGUUGGAUCUUGAGCACUCAUUCUGGUCCUCUUCUGGUUGGAAGAGGUUUUGUGUUGGACAUCACUUGCACCAAAAUGUGACUGUAUGCCUUUUUAUUUCAAUAGUUUUUAGUUUCUUCUUACAAAAAAAAAAAGUAACUUAUCAACUGUUUUUAAUUGCACAAGAGUUCUCUUUCUCAAAACACUUAAGGCUUCAAUGGAGCAUCAUCUAUGAUCUUUGUGAAGAGGUUUGGAGGAUUGAUAAAGAUAAAAGAUGAAUUUAAAAAAACAAUGAGGCAGUUAGAGCUCCUUAAUCUACCUCUCUUAAUAAAAGAGAACUUUAUGCCAUACGGCUUCUCCUACAUCCAUUUCACAUAAAAGUUAAAUUACGUAUUUAACCUUUGAAAUCUAUCUCGAACCUUCAAUCUCGCCUAUAUUUCCUCUGCUCCACCUUCAUAUCAAAUUCAAAAUUCAGACCCAAAUCUCCCUACAUCGGUAAUAUAUAAUCAACAAAAAUCAGUAUAUUCAUUCUUUCUUUAUCUCCCCUGUUUCUCUCUAUAAUCCUAGCAGCAACGACUAAGAAGGAGAAGUUGAAUCAGAGAUGCAAAUGGAGUUGACUGCAUCUUAGCUUGGUCCGUAGGAAAUCAAAUCAUACUUCAAAUUUUAAAUAACCAAGGUUUAAUCCUCCUAAGAGAAUGAUCAAACCCUAAAACGAAAACCUACCCUAUUCGUCUUUAGGUUCUGAUUUGCAGGUAUUGUCACCUUCUGAUUCCAUCAAUGUCGCCUCUUCUUUUCUCUAUAAUAAUAUCAGUUGUUUUUGUUUUUGCGAGGAAACCAAGAAAACUAAAAACGCUGGUCUCAAAGUCGGAUCGUUCUUCAGCCCCGUUAUCACCAUUUUUUGCUUGGCGUUAAUGGAGGCAUCAAAUUAAAUGAUUGUUCUAUAUAUUUUGAUUUGGUUUCAUGAAAUUUGGUCAUUGAUUUUUCUUAGUAUGCUUCUAAAUCAACAAGAAAUUGAUGAGAAACUAAUCAUCACUGAUUUUUUAUGUUGCUUAAUUGGAAAUCAGUGUCAAAAAAUCCCACACAAGUCUUCAUACUCUCGAACUUCAGGUUUUAUUUUUAUUCUUAAGGUUUUCUCUCUGAAACGGAAAACCACACUAUAUCCCCUUCAUUUUCUACAAUUUCAUCUUCAAUUUCAGGUUUUAGUUUUAUUCUUAGGUCCUGACUCAAAAGGAUACAUCUGAUUGGGAAAGGAAAUGAAAUUCGAGUGACUGGGAAAGGAAGAAAACAUUCCACACAUAGCCUUUGCCCUAACGAAGCGUCUCCCUUUCAACUAUUUUCUUCCAGCAAGCGACGUCACCCGCAAGCACCGAUCGAAUGUUUCUCAUCAGAGCACGACUCUUCGAUUCUUUACUCUUCACCCUUCACCUUUUACAAUCAUCCUAAGCCUUAAAUCUACAAUCAUGUUUAUUUCUCCAAGAUUAAAAAUUAGUCAGGGGUUCUCGUCUCUUCAGUCUUCUAGCCAACCUUGUGCUAUACAAACUUCAAAUCCUCAAGAUUCAAGUCGCAAGAAGCUCAAUGUUUCCAAAUCAAGUCUCAAGAGUCAAGAAAUAAAGCCUUCAACUUGAUUUUUCAUUCUUCCGACACUUUUUUGCACUCGAUUUCCAUGUUAUAGUUUUUAUCUAAUGUUAUUGCUUCUACUAUGUAUUUAUUUAUUUAUUUUUGUUGAAAUGAUCUAAUGUUUUUGGCUUUUAAAUAUUUUUUUUUCGAUUGUUAUCUCAUGUGAUUUUUAUAUCA